GCUGGGCAUAGUGGCAUAUGCCUGUAGUCCCAGCUUUUGGAGGCUGUGGGGAGAGAAUUUCUUGAGGCCAUGAGUUGGAUAUCAGUCCAGGGAACAUAGCAAGAUCCCAUCUCAA
rnacentral:sRNA from 1 species